rnacentral:lncRNA from 1 species
UGUGAAAAGACGUCGGCUUUUGUAAUGUCCAAAAAAAAAAAAUUAAAUACUCUAUUGAUAUUUAAUAUAAUUUACGUUUAAUUGUUUUAAUUUUUUUGUAGGUUUUAUGAGUCUACGCAAUCAGAUGAAGAGGAAGAUGAAGAGAAGAAAGAAGAUGAAGAGAAUAAUGAAGAAUCAUUUGCCGCUGCUACUUCUUGACGUUUAUAAUUGUUUACUUAUUUGAUAAAACUAUUAGCAUAAGAUACUGACACUUUCUACAAUUCUUUUUUGGAUACUUUUGCCUAUAAUUUUAUUAUCUAU